AUUGAACGCUGGCGGCAUGCCUUACACAUGCAAGUCGAACGGUAACAGGUCUUCGGAUGCUGACGAGUGGCGAACGGGUGAGUAAUACAUCGGAACGUGCCCGAUCGUGGGGGAUAACGGAGCGAAAGCUUUGCUAAUACCGCAUACGAUCUACGGAUGAAAGCAGGGGACCGCAAGGCCUUGCGCGGACGGAGCGGCCGAUGGCAGAUUAGGUAGUUGGGGGGAUAAAAGCUUACCAAGCCGACGAUCUGUAGCUGGUCUGAGAGGACGACCAGCCACACUGGGACUGAGACACGGCCCAGACUCCUACGGGAGGCAGCAGUGGGGAAUUUUGGACAAUGGGCGAAAGCCUGAUCCAGCCAUGCCGCGUGCAGGAUGAAGGCCUUCGGGUUGUAAACUGCUUCUGUACGGAACGAAAAGCCUCUUUCUAAUAAAGAGAGGUCAUGACGGUACCGUAAGAAUAAGCACCGGCUAACUACGUGCCAGCAGCCGCCGUAACAC
rnacentral:rRNA from 1 species